AAAAUUUUCUACCACAGCUAACGGGCAUGUGAAUUCAUUUAUUAAAACAGUCCAAAAGAACACUUCAUGGUUAGCUCAAUCUCAUCAAGUCCAAGGGAAAUUCAAUUCACUUGUUGUCCAUAAAUUGAUGAAUUAUGUUGGGAAUUGGGCCUAAUUAAACUGUAUUUUAAAAACAAAAAAUCUUAAAAGCAAAGGUUCAAUGUGAAUAGAAAUAAUUAGCUAGUUCCAAGCUAAGGCAAUUCCAACAAAAAAAAAAU
rnacentral:misc_RNA from 1 species